GACGAACGCUGGCGGCGUGCUUAACACAUGCAAGUCGAACGGAAGGGCCCUGCUUUUGUGGGGUUCUCGAGGGGGGAGGGGGUGUGUAACAUAUGAGUAUCCUGCCCUUGACUGUGUGAUAACUUCAGGAAGCUGGGGCUACUACCUGCUACGAGCUCCUGCUGCAUGGGGGGGUUUGGAAAGUUUCGGCGGUUGGGGAUGGACUCGCGGCUUAUCAGCUGGUUGGUUGGGUAGUUGCUUACCAGGGCUUCGACGGGUGGCCGGCCUGGGAGGGUGACCAGCCACAUUGGGACUGCGGUACGGCCCAGACUGCAACGGGGGGCAGCAGGGGAGAAUAUUACACAAUGGGGGGACGUCUGAUGAGAAAACGUUGCGUGCGGAAUGACGGCCUUCGGGUUGUAAACCGCAUUAACCUAAGACGAAGCGUGAGUGACGGUAAUAGGUAAAGAAGCACCGGCUAACUACGUG
rnacentral:rRNA from 1 species